CAGGCUUAACACAUGCAAGUCGAGGGGUAACAUUGUGCUUGCACAGAUGACGACCGGCGCACGGGUGCGUAACGCGUAUAGAACCUACCUUUUACAGAGGAAUAGCCUUUAGAAAUGAAGAUUAAUGCCUCAUAGUAUUGUAGACUGGCAUCAGUUUAUAAUUAAAGAUUUAUCGGUAAAAGAUGGCUAUGCGUCCUAUUAGUUAGUUGGUAAGGUAACGGCUUACCAAGACAGCGAUAGGUAGGGGUCCUGAGAGGGAGAUCCCCCACACUGGUACUGAGACACGGACCAGACUCCUACGGGAGGCAGCAGUGAGGAAUAUUGGACAAUGGAGGAGACUCUGAUCCAGCCAUGCCGCGUGUAGGAAGAAUGCCCUAUGGGUUGUAAACUACUUUUAUACAGGAAGAAACACUGGUAUGUAUACCAGCUUGACGGUACUGUAAGAAUAAGGACCGG
rnacentral:rRNA from 1 species